rnacentral:lncRNA from 1 species
UAUGCAUGACCUGCUGUUUUGUCAGUGCACAGGAUCAGCAAAAGUGUCUGUGUUCUGGAGGUACUCUAAGCUGACUGCCCACUGAUUUUGCUCAAAGAAGAACAUACAGUACUUCAUUCCCUGUGUUUGGGGUAAGAAGAUAGUUCCUUGCAGCUGGAGGGACUCAUGUUGACCACCUCUUCUGCUAACUCCCACGCUGUGUAUAACCAAAGCAAAGGUAAGUAAGUUAGAGGAAGGACAGAU